CGGGCAUAUCACAUUAAAACACUGGUUCCCGUACGAUCAGCGAAGUUAAGCAACGGCGAGCCUGGUCAUUACCAGAGUGACGACUUGGGAAUAUCAGGUGCUGUCAU